CGCACUGCAGCUGAUGUUCUGAUGCCUUCUCUCGGCUCCGGUUCGGCUGAGGUUCGGCUGAUGUGGGUCAAAUGUAACCAGAGGAAGAUUCAUUCGGGCUCGUGCAUGUAGGACAGACACACAGAACCGAGCGGGCGCGCGCAGCAUCUGUCCUCGUGCACGCGCACAGAAUGCCGAACGAGCAUCACCUUUGUCGUCGGUUCUGCCCUGAGGAAUAACGGGAAUAACGACACACCGACAGAUGGAGGAAUGAUCGGUACCGGCCCGGUGUUUGACCAUGAGCUGGACCGACGGCGCGGAGAGCGCGUGCAGGGAUUUCGUUGUGGAUGGAGAGGGAAAUGUGUGCAGAGCUACUGGUUACAUGACGGAUUGUCUGAGUGAAGACACUGAUAAAGUUCCUCUUCAAACACACACUCUGAAAGAGUUUGAACAGG